rnacentral:misc_RNA from 1 species
UCAAACUUGGUCAUUUAGAGGAAGUAAAAGUCGUAACAAGGUUUCCGUAGGUGAACCUGCGGAAGGAUCAUUAUUGAGGAUUGGGCCUCCUAAUAUGGAGCCUAAGCUUCCAACCUAUGUAUUCUGUUACCAAUUUGCUUUGGCAGCUCGGGUACCAUGGCUGCUUAGGAUAUUCCGAAUUGGCCUUGGUACCCGGUGGUUGCCAGAGAUUAUUCAAUUCUGAUUAUUACCACUGUCAGCCUGAGUAUAAGAUUUAAAAAAAAGCAAAACUUUCAACAACGGAUCUCUUGGUUCUGGCAUCGAUGAAGAACGCAGC